CGAGCGGGCUACGAUCUUCGGAUUGUAGCUUAGCGGCGAACGGGUGAGUAACACGUAGGUAAUCUACCCUUCAGAGGAGGACAACCUCAGGAAACUGAGGCUAAACCAUCAUACGUUCACUGGUAGGGAUACUGGUGAAGAAAGAGUUACCUUAGUGGUAGCUGCUGAAGGAUGAGCCUGCGGCCCAUCAGGUAGUUGGUGAGGUAACGGCUCACCAAGCCGAAGACGGGUAACCGGUCUGAGAGGAUGUCCGGUCACACUGGGACUGAGACACGGCCCAGACUCCUACGGGAGGCAGCAGCAGGGAAUCUUGGGCAAUGGGCGAAAGCCUGACCCAGCGACGCCGCGUGGAGGAAGAAGUCCUUCGGGGCGUAAACUCCUGGACUGGGGGACGAGGAAGGACGGUACCCCAGUAGAAAGGGACGGCUAACUACGUGCCAGCAGCCGCGGUAAAACGUAGGUCCCGAGCGUUGUUCGGAUUCACUGGGUGUAAAGGGCGCGUA
rnacentral:rRNA from 1 species